GAGGAUGGGAAAGGGGGAAUGUCGGGGAGGAGAAGGUGAUGGAAAGGAAAGGGGAUUUGGGUUGCGGAGGGAGGGCCGGUGGUGGAUAAGGAGGUGGUGAUGGGGCCGGAGGGUGGGUCAAGUAUUUAGUGGUGAUAAGGAAGGUUGCUGCCCCUCUUUGGAAGAGGCGAUCUCUUGGAAGAAGCAGAAUGAGAUUGGAAUGGUGAGUAGAGAGCUUGACUGGCAGGGGUGUCUCUGAUUGGGGAGGGGAAGAGGAGGUCAGGAAUAGAAAAGAAGAGGGGGAAGAAGUAGGAGUUUGAGGAUGAUGGGAAAGUGAGGAUUAUGGUAAGAAGCAAGGAUGGUGUCAGAGGGUCAUUAUGGGAGCAGGUGGAUUUCAUGUCUAGUCUUCUAGGUCGUGGAGGCUCAGUGCUUAGAUUACAGCAGGAGACUGAAGCAGAUUGUUUUCACUUCUGUAUCAGAAAAAUAAUCCACACACCCUAGAGCCUAGGUGGAUAAAGGAAAGAUCCAAGAAUUCUGGUUUCCAGGCCCAGGAGAAGAGACAGUUCCAUCAUGGUCCAAACUUAUCUAGAAGAAUUUGAGAGAUUGCAGCUCCGGAACAUCUGGAGCCUUCUGAAUUUUGCCUUUGUCCUGAAGAGUUCAGAAUCUGAGAAAACUGACCACAGCAAGACUACCCCAGGGCACUUCCCUUCCUCAGUUUGUGUCUAAUUUGAUUCAUAAAAUCACCAUAAUGAUAAAAUGUCCUAGAAAAUCGAUGGCCUGGCCAGUAUCGGUGUCAUACCUCCUGAGGUCAAGGACUGCUGCGCAGAAUGGGGGCUUCCGAGUUGCUGUUGCCCAAGGCUCCUUUGGUUGCCAGGGUAACAAAGGCCAACACUGGCAAGUUCUAGAGUGAAGCCCGUUUGGGAGAACCGGGGGCUCCUGCAGUUGGCAACAUACCCCCCUUUCCAUGGGCAGUGACUCUUGUCCAGGCUUGCCUUUGGGCUGCCACUGCAUUGAUUUCCCUUGUGUGAGGGUCCCCAGGGGGAGGGGGAAGAGAGGACUUAUCCCCUUGACAAGGGAAGUCCUGGGCUCUCUCAGGCAGGGGUGAGGGGGGCUGGGACCCUCCUCUGAUGUGGCUGCUCGAGGCCCAACACGGCCUUCCCCGCCUCGGAUAAUCAGCUGGGUCACAUGUUCGGCUACAGCCAGAUUGCUCCAUGACAACAGAGGCAAAUGAAGGUAAACAGACGGACCAGUCUGGGAAGGCUCUCCUCCCACAAACCCAGGAGCCAGGAUUCUUUCCUGCAGGAGGAGGAACUGAUUCACAGCGAUGGGACGAUAGCCAAUAGAUCAAUGAAAAAAGAUGUUGUCACCAGCCAAGAGAUUGCCAUUUACAUGGGAUCUGCUAUUAUGGGUAUCUAAUAAAUAUGAUUAUUGUAAAUUAA